ACCGAAAUAGCUCAGGCGUCAGAGUGUUACAGUUUGGAGCGAGGGUUCGUGGUUCGAUCCCGGGUUUCGGUA
rnacentral:tRNA from 1 species